ensembl:lncRNA SNHG14 small nucleolar RNA host gene 14
AUGUGAUCCUUGGAGAUGCCAGGAAGCCCCUUGACACAUGUGGCAUGGGCUCCUUCAGAGGCUUUUGGAUCCGUCGUGAAUGUGGCAUGGGCAUGCAAAGAAAGACAGAGGCUGCAAGGGAUAAACUUCAUCUUGGGAGAUCCCUGGAGAUGGCAGGGAACCCAUGGACACAUGUGGCAUGGGCUCCUUUGGGUGCCGGUGGAUCCCUUCAUACGGUAAAGCCAGAGUUGGGUAUCAACCAGAUACACUGCAGGGGAUCAGAGGACAUGGCCUUUGUGUACUGCACAUCUGUCAGAUUUUCUCAAGCACACCCGUGUUUCCUCUUCACCUCCCACGUGGAAGUGAUGAAUUGGCCAGGACCAUGUUGGUGAGGGACAAUCAUCAUCUCAUGUUAACCUCAGAGAAGCCAGGAAGCUCCUGGACACACAUGGUGUAGGCUUCCUUGGAGGCUGUUGGAUCUCUCCUGAAUGUAGUGUUGGUGUAAAAGGCAAACCCGUGUCAUGAGGGAUGGUCAUCAUCUUGUGUGAUCCUUGGAGAUGGCAGGAAGCCCUGGACAUACAUGGUGUGGGGGCUCCUCCAGAGGCUGUUGGGAUCCUCCUGGAUGUGGUGUGGGCAUGGAAGGAAGGCCAGUGGAGACAAUGGAUGAUCUUGUUCUUAGCAGAUCACUGGAUGUGGCAGGGAGUCCUAGGACAUGUGUGGUGUGGGCUUCUUCAGGUGCUGGUGGUGUUGGCAUGAGGAAAGGAGGUAUCUUCGAGGGACAAUCUUCUUCUUGUGCGAUCCUUGGAGAUGCCAUGAGGCCCCUGGACACAUGUGGUGUGGGCUCCUUUGGAGGCUGUUGUAUCCCUUCUGAAUGUGGCGUGGGCAUAGAAGGAAGGCCAGUGGCCACGAGGGACAAUCUUGGUCUUGGGAGAUCCUGGAAAUGAUAGGGAGUCCCUUGAUAUGUGUGGCAUGGGCUCCUUCAGGUGCUAGUGGAUUCCUUAGGAUGGUGGUGUUGGCAUGAAAGGCAGGCUUGUAUCAUGAGGAAUGAUUGUCAUCUUGUCUGAUUCUUGGAGAUGGCAGGAAGCCCCUGGAAACACAUGGUGUGGACUCUUUCACAGGCUGUUGAAACCCUCCUGAAUGUGAGGCCAGAGACAGGCAGACAGCAGAUGUAUUGCAGGGAGCUGGAUGACAUGGCCCUUGGAACCUGUGCACAUGCCUGCCUUUCUGAUGCACGUCCAUGUUUUCUCUGCACCUCCCCGGUGGUGUUGGUAUAAAAAGCAGGCUUACAUCAGCAAGGGAUGAUUGUCGUCUCAUGCGAUCCUGGGAGAUGGCAGAAGUCCCGGGACACAUGGAGUGUGGGCUCUUUCGGAGGCUGUUGGAUCCCUCCUGAAUGUGUUGUGGCCAUGGAAGUAAGGCCAGUGGCUACGAGGGACAGUCUUCAUCUUGGGAGAUCCCUAGAGAGGGCAGGGAGCCCCUUGACAUGUGGAAUGUGAUCUCUGUUGGGUGCUGGUGGAUCCCACAGGUGGUCUGGCAUGGAAGAAGGCCAGAGGCUGCGAUGGAUCAUCUUUGUCUUGGGAGAUUCCUGGAGAUGGUGGGGAGCCCCUGGGCACGUGCAGCAUAUGUGGCGUGGGCUUCUUCAGGUGCUGGUGGAUCCCUCAGGAUGCUUUUCAAGGUUUUUCUAUGAGUUCUGUUAAAGAGUCUGAAAAUGGAGCGUAGAAGACAUGCUUCGAUUUCCAGGAUGGUUGUGUUUUCCAGAGAGGCGGAGGUAAACCACUGGCGCAGCCCUGCCUCCCACAGAUAAUUCCGGGUGCAGUGUUUCAUAUCUAGACUUGGACUUCUAUCCUACCAUACUUCUUUGUGUGCAGUUCAUUGUGGAACCAGCACAGAUUUUCAUACGAAAGUUAUUUCUUUUUAACCUCAAAAAGUGACAGAAUGGAGUGUAUCAUGAAAAAGUCUGACAUCAAAACCUCAAAAUGUGAUAUUGAUUGGGUGAGAUAGAAUUCCAUGGAAUUUCAUUGCCAAACCAGUGAAGUGCUAAUUUUGACAUUUGUACCAGCUAACGUAGCUGUGAAGAAACACACCAAUACACUUCUAAGGACAGCAUAGACCAAGAUCUAGGUUUCAUAUGGAUGAAUUUAUUCUUCCCUUUGAGGCAAGACAAGAAGGAAAGAAAGUAUUGGGAAUAAUGCUGCCCUCCCAUCCUCAAGGGCCAGUGGGAACUCUAAUAUUGAUUGGGUGAGAUACAAUUCCAUGGAAUUUUACCACUGAACCAGUGGAGGGCUAAUUUUGUCAUUUGUACCAGUUAACUAACUUGGGAGGAAACAGAACAACACACUCCUGAGGGUAAAAUGGAAACUCUGAGAGUUUGGUUGGCGGCAUCUAUAUACCAUAGAAACAGAGCCUGGGAAGCAGAACAGUGAGACCCAAGAGAAAUGUUCCUGCCUAUACUUGAUUGGUUUUCACAGAAUUCCAUGGACUUUAACUGCUGAACCAAUGAUGCACUGAUUUUGUCACUUGUACCAGCUAACGCAUCUGGGAGGCAACAAAACAAUACUCUCCUGAGGUUAAUGUGGACCAAAAACUAGAUUUCAUAUAAAAGAGUUUAUUCCUUCUACUUGAGGUGUGACAUGAAGGAAAGUAAUGGAAAUAAUUCUGCCCUCCCAUUCUCAAGGGCCAGGGGGAAUUCAAAUAUUGAACGGAAGUGAUUUUGGAAUUGCAUGGAAUUCUCACUGCCAUCCCAAAGAAAUGCUGAUCUUGUCACUCUUACCUGUUUCAUUCCCUGGGGGCAGAACAAAAGGACGCACUCCAAAGAUCGGCAUGAACCAAGAACUGGGUUUCAUAUAAAAUAUUUUAUUCUGUCCUCUUGAGAUGUGACAUGAGAAAAGUAUUGAGAAUACUUCUAUCACCUCAUCUUCAAGAAUCCGUAGGAAUUCUCCCAUGGUGGACUUUACGGUUAACCUGAACAGGUCUUGGAAAAAGGACUUUAAACAUUCUCCUGUUCUGUGGAAUAAGUAUACUUUUUUCUGGACAUACACCUUGUCAGUGAGUUCCAUGUGAUACUAGAGUUGCAUAGAUUUUUAACCUUUACGCCAAUGAAGAUCUGAGGCAAACAUUGCCCCUUUUUUAGAAGUUUGCAUUUGUCACUGAUAACUGUAAUAAUUGAUCUUGUUGAAAAGCCUGGGAAAUGAAGAUCUGAUAUGUCACUUUUACCGGCUUCCUCAACUGAAAAAGAAUACAAUGAAACACGCUGAGAAUUUUUGUGCUUUCUCAGUCUUGCUGAUGAUCUUUCUAUGGGCCUGAAGCGUGGAGAGUGCCAGAGAGGCUGAUCCUCAGCAGUGUGGCAGAGGAAAGUUGGGUGCGACUAAGGGGUAUGCGGUGCCCACAUGCCACUGGGUCCUCAGCAGUACCACCUGUGUGAUUGGUCCAGAUAGCUGCCUUAUCCAACUGCCUCCUUUGGACCACUUCAUCAUGGGACAGCUUGAUGCAAUCUACUUGACAAGACCCUGGAACCCCACACCCCUCAUGGAACCAGUGUCCACCUCCCAGUCACAGUGUGACCCCAGGGAACUCUUGCCUGCUUGCUUUAAACCCACCACUUAAAAGUCUCCACAGAAAACCUGUUUGAAUAGUACCCUUGACCCAAUAAGGGCAUUGGCCCCUGGGUGUCUCUCUCUCUCUCUCUCUCUCUCUCUCCCUCUCUCUCCCUCUCUCUCUCUCGCUCCCUGACCUCUGCGUGUGGACUCCAGGCAUGCCAUAUACCCCUCAGGACCUGAAGCAAAAGAAUGAAUUAAAGAAAACUCCAGAGAAUGAGCUGACAACCUACUCCCUGGUCAGUGGCUCUCCAUGCCUACCUGUGGUCUCUUGGACACCCUUGCAGAAGAUGACUUCCUGGGAACUCUUCUGGGAGUGAAUGUUAUCAGCAAAUUCCCAAAACAACACCCCUUAGACAAAAAGCCUCCUCACCUAUGCAUUGCCUAGACCACCCACUAAAGGUGAUGGCCACAAAGAGGUGGAUUUGUUGAGUUGGUGCCAUUCCUUCUACUGCCAGCUUCACCAAAACAAUGACACAGUCUUCCUUCCGCAUGGAGACUCUUCUCUUUCCUGUGUUGCAGUGGAUGCCUCCUGCAGAUAAGAAAUGCUUAACUGAGAAAUGCUCAUGUUGGGAUAUCAUCGAUGAGACUUUAAUUUGGGCAUGGUGACUGUUUCCCUUGCUGCCACUUGACUCAAUCCCAGGAGCCUCAGUAGAGGAUAUAAUAUUACACAAGAUGCUCAAAAUGGUGGAAUUGCUCAGUGCUCCCAUAAAUAUACAUUUAUAAUUUUCAUUUGCCACAUGGUAAACUGAAAAAUACAGACUAUAUUAAAAAGAAACUGCAUGAUUUUUUUUCAAAAAUUCAAAGCAUAUUUAAAUAAUAUAUAAAUUAAAUGCCCUCCUCUCUUCCAAUUCUGUCCCUAUAGUUUUCCUCUAUUAAGUGAACUACAUGCAUUCUUUUAGUGGAUAGAUGCACACAAACACACAAGCCAUUAUGGGGAAGGAUCCACGUGUGUGGCCAUAUUGUAACACAUUUUUCUGCAAAUCACCUCUUUCAUUUAACAGCCCUUAUUCAAUGGCCUUUUUCUUUUUCAGUAGUACAUACACAUCUGUGUCAUUUGUUGAAUGACGACAUGAAUGUUUUGUAGAUAAAAUAUAAUUAAAUGUUUUAAGCAUUUCUCACUCAUAGAUAUUUAUGUUAGCACCAAAUUUCUGUGCAAUGAACCUCCCUAUAUAUCAGUAAUUUUGCAUUUGUCUAUAAUAUCAUAAUAAAUUACUUAUCAGUUGAAUUACUGGGAUUAAGUAUGUGCACACUUUAUAUUUAUAUUUUGAAAAUUAUUGCAAGAUUGCCUUCAAAAAUGUGGUUAACAACUUUAUCUUCAAAUGGCAAUGAAUGAGAUUGCCAGCUUUCCUACAGCCUCACAGACAAUGGAUUUUAUAAAUAUUUAACAUUUUUGCCAAUGUGAUCACCCAAACUAUUGUCUUAAAUUGUAUCUCUUUUGUUUUUGAGUUUGGUCAUUUUUUCAUGUUUAUUAGCCAUCUGUAUUUUUUAAUUUCUUCUUUAUGUCCAAUUUUGUGGGUGGGAGGAGGAUUUAGUCUCUUCCUGAUUUCGAAGAGCUCAUUUACUAUUUCGGGAAAUAAGAUUUGGAUUGUCAACCAUUAUAGCUAUUUUUUACACACUUUUCAACUUUGUUUUUGUUAUAAGAAUGUGUAUGAUUGUUACAUGUCCAAGUAUAACCAUGUUCGCUUUUAUGGCUUCUGAGUUUCAUGUCAUUUUUGGAAAGAUAUAUAUAUUGAGUCCAUAAAACCCUUCACCUAUGUUAAAUUCUAAUUCUUUUGUGUUUUUUUAAUUCAAAUUCUUAAAUCAUGAGAAAUUUUUUUGUUUUGAAAUCUUAAAGUUGCCAAGUUACUUGCCAUUACUUGCGAUUAUUUGCCAAUAAUUGCCCAUUUAUCUGUACCGCCAUCUUGCGCAUAUGCUGUACUCUCAUCUGUGACUGGCUCCAUUUUUGUUCUGUGGAUUUGUGUGUCUCUUCUUCUGCCUCCUGUCUCGUGUCUGCUCGUUGGAAGAAAUUACAGUUUAGACUGCAAUUUCAUCAACUUUAAUAAAUCAAUUGAGGGGAGAAUUGGUUUUUAAAAAUAUUAAGUAAGUCUUCGUAUCCAAGGACAAGGUAUGUCUUUUCUUAUUCAAUAAUUUUAAUUACUGUUAAUAUUUUCACUGUGGUGAUGGGAGUUUUUCUUUUAAUUUAUUUUCUUGUUCAUUUUUUGUAUCUAAAGUUUUUGUUUUGUUUUGUUUUGGGGGUAAGUUGUCACCUUACUGUUUCUUGUUGCUUUUCAGAUUUUUUCAAAGUAUAGACUAAAUCCUUCACAAAUAUUUAAAGUUUUUAUUUUCCCCCUUCAUAUUGAUCCUGAUUUUAGUUAUGUUGACAAAGUCCACAGACUGUUACUAUCAGAACACUUGAACAGUUAUGGAAAUAUUACCUACCCUUGAUUUAAUCAGAGUUUAAUGGUAUGCUUCUUUGGUUUGACUGGCACAUUGUCGCUGGUCAUUUCCUCCCAAAGACCACCAGAAAGAGCUAUGAUCAAGCAAAGCUGAGUUUGUUAAACUUACCUGCAGCAAGGGAAAACACCACCUUGAUAGGGUUUAAUAAUGUUUCAAAAUCAAGAAAUGAGGCUUUGGGGUCUGGGCAGGGAACUAAUUAGAAAUGGGCAAAAUUUGUCAUGCAAUACCUUGUGGGAAAGUGAGAUGAGGUUCUUAAUGUGAGUAUUGAUGGUGAAAUCAUUUUCUAGGUGAGCUGUUUGCCUAUAUAAAGAUGUUAUCAAUGACAGAAGAACUAUUUGCCUAGAUAAACAAACUGAAUUUAUUUAUUGGUUUACAGUUUUAUCUUGCUGGGCAGGACUCUGCUGGGGGUGGUAUCAGGUCUUAUUCCCAAUAGGUAAGUUAUUUGGAUAUGGGUGGUCUUAAUCAUCAAUGUGUAAAAUGCUGAUUUUAAGUGCGAAAUACUUUGUCUACCAUGUUAGGAAAGUCUGCCACCUUUUAUCUUUUUUAAGGAAUUUUAAUCAAAACCAGGUGGUAGAUAUAAUCAAAUUGUUUUGCAGAAUCAAUUUUCCUGUUCUCUUUAAAGACUUUUAUCACUGUGAAUUAAUUUACUAUUAUUGCAACUUCCUUUAAUUCCUUGAAUGAACAGACCCUACUGGUUUUAAAAAUGUUUUAUUCUUUUAAUUUACUACUUAAUUGUGGGUAUUUUAAUUUGAUUUGGAAUUUUUACAAGUAUACAACUAAGUGAAAUUGAUCUGUGAUUUUUCUUUUUUGUGCUAUUUUUGUCAUGUUUUGAUAUCAGAUAUUCUGGUUGUGUUAAAAUAAUUUUGAGGAUUUUCUUCUUAUACUGUGUUCUAGAGUGGGUAAAAAAGCCCUAGUCUCACUAUCAGUGUUUAAGUGAACACAUCAGUGACAUCAUCUGGACUCUCCUUUGUUUUUGCUGGUUUGGAGUUAGGACAUCUAGAAGUUUUUUUCUUUUUUUCCUUUUUUUGUAUGGUUAUUGCUUGUUCUUUGUUUUGUGUCAAAUUUAACCUGUUUUCUCUUAGCAAAUCACAGCUCAUGCAGAUUUUCAAACACAUUAGCCUUGUUAUACAAAGUGUUCUUUCAUCAUUCUAUUAAAUUUCCAUUUUCAUUCCAGUUAUAGUUAUUUCUGCUGUGCCUUUGUUAAUGAAUAAGUUUAAACAGUGGAUGUUUAGCAUCACUAGCCUUCCCCUUCCAUCUCCCUUAAUCAGGACCUUGGUAUAAUUUAUCAGGUAUUUUUUAAGGUUCUAAUUUACUUAUAUAUAUUGUUUCUGUAUUCUUUUGUUUCUUUUCUUAAUAAAUUCUUAAA